AUGGCCCACAUUGCGGCGUUCUUGCUGGUGGCGCUGCUCUCCUUAGACGUGCAUCUCGCGCAGUCCGCGUCGUGCCGAUCAUGCCCGCCGACAAAGCCUUCCCAGCCUCCACCGUGUAAGCACAAGUCUUCACCAUCGUCCAUACCCUGCGCUCCACCUUCACAAACUCCCAUGCCCUCACCAACACCCACACUCACCCCGGUGACUCCGACACCGGCACCGACCCCGACUGUCUUAUCAUACUUAUCGGUUCCAAUAUUAAAGUUUAUGACUAUCACAAGAAUUGUUUGGAUAUUUUCAAAAUAA
rnacentral:rRNA from 1 species